CUCAUUAGCGUGACAUUUGAGAAUUGGAGGUAUCACGAUGCAAACAUGAGUAGGAAUUUUUUGCGCCUUGCCUUCUUCCUAUAACUGGACUGUCAACACAAAGUUGAUCACUCGGGUGAGGGCCGGAUGUAGAGGAACUUGUGCUUCGAUUCCUGUUCAAAUGCAAGUAUCGGCUGCAUGGGCAGAAGCUUCAGGUCAUCAAAAUCUGACUAAUCUAGGGACGUCCACUCGAAAUUGUUCGUCUUUUUCGUUAGUCGAUAUAGAUGUAGUGCCUUUUCACCAAAUCUGGAUAGAAAUUGUCUGAGGACCGCCAAGCAUCUGGUCAGUCUCUCGACAUCUCGAAGCUCCAACGGUUCGACCAUAUUGAUGAUGGUGUUUAUCUUCUCAGGAUUUGCUCUGAUUCCGCGUGCAGAUACGUACGAGGAAACUGAGUAGCAUUUCCGCAGGCAUGCCGUACACACAUUUGUUUGGGUUCAACUUGAUGUUGUACCUAUUUCCACAGAGAGACUAUCGUCCGAUGAUCGUGAACGAAUUUUAAGCUUCAAGUACACUUUGCAUGGACGGGCCAUAUAGACUUUGCUUAUGGCGGGUUCUCGAAGAUUUUAUUGUAUUCACUUUUGAAGUCCACCACCUCAAAUGAUAGAGUCUGUUUGUAGAAGUUGUGUUCGUCGCCGAAGACAACAUAGAAAGAGAUCCAUCCGAGUGGUUUGACCUUGAUGUCAGGACAACUCUAUGGAAGGUCAUCCUAGUCGUAUUAAGCCUUGACUGAGGAAUACCAUAUAUUCCGGUGUGCUUGAGUAUAGGAUGUUGAGUGCUGCAUCUGACAUCCAUCAAAAUGUCCCUCUAUUGAAACCCGAGAUUUUACUCUCUUCUCAAAAGUGAAUUAUUCGUUCGAGAUAUCUGGUAUUUUGUUAACAAAAUUGCGCUUGCGUGCAUUCAAAUGUGGGCAUGUUGAUUUUAUCUUCCAUUCCUAACUAAUUUGUUUUACCUUGAUGCUAAAAAA
rnacentral:lncRNA from 1 species